AGAGUUUGAUCCUGGCUCAGGAUGAACGCUGGCGGCGUGCCUAAUACAUGCAAGUCGAGCGAACGGACGAGAAGCUUGCUUCUCUGAUGUUAGCGGCGGACGGGUGAGUAACACGUGGAUAACCUACCUAUAAGACUGGGAUAACUUCGGGAAACCGGAGCUAAUACCGGAUAAUAUUUUGAACCGCAUGGUUCAAAAGUGAAAGACGGUCUUGCUGUCACUUAUAGAUGGAUCCGCGCUGCAUUAGCUAGUUGGUAAGGUAACGGCUUACCAAGGCAACGAUGCAUAGCCGACCUGAGAGGGUGAUCGGCCACACUGGAACUGAGACACGGUCCAGACUCCUACGGGAGGCAGCAGUAGGGAAUCUUCCGCAAUGGGCGAAAGCCUGACGGAGCAACGCCGCGUGAGUGAUGAAGGUCUUCGGAUCGUAAAACUCUGUUAUUAGGGAAGAACAUAUGUGUAAGUAACUGUGCACAUCUUGACGGUACCUAAUCAGAAAGCCACGGCUAACUACGUGCCAGCAGCCGCGGUAAUACGUAGGUGGCAAGCGUUAUCCGGAAUUAUUGGGCGUAAAGCGCGCGUAGGCGGUUUUUUAAGUCUGAUGUGAAAGCCCACGGCUCAACCGUGGAGGGUCAUUGGAAACUGGAAAACUUGAGUGCAGAAGAGGAAAGUGGAAUUCCAUGUGUAGCGGUGAAAUGCGCAGAGAUAUGGAGGAACACCAGUGGCGAAGGCGACUUUCUGGUCUGUAACUGACGCUGAUGUGCGAAAGCGUGGGGAUCAAACAGGAUUAGAUACCCUGGUAGUCCACGCCGUAAACGAUGAGUGCUAAGUGUUAGGGGGUUUCCGCCCCUUAGUGCUGCAGCUAACGCAUUAAGCACUCCGCCUGGGGAGUACGACCGCAAGGUUGAAACUCAAAGGAAUUGACGGGGACCCGCACAAGCGGUGGAGCAUGUGGUUUAAUUCGAAGCAACGCGAAGAACCUUACCAAAUCUUGACAUCCUUUGACAACUCUAGAGAUAGAGCCUUCCUCUUCGGGGGACAAAGUGACAGGUGGUGCAUGGUUGUCGUCAGCUCGUGUCGUGAGAUGUUGGGUUAAGUCCCGCAACGAGCGCAGCCCUUAAGCUUAGUUGCCAUCAUUAAGUUGGGCACUCUAAGUUGACUGCCGGUGACAAACCGGAGGAAGGUGGGGAUGACGUCAAAUCAUCAUGCCCCUUAUGAUUUGGGCUACACACGUGCUACAAUGGACAAUACAAAGGGCAGCGAAACCGCGAGGUCAAGCAAAUCCCAUAAAGUUGUUCUCAGUUCGGAUUGUAGUCUGCAACUCGACUACAUGAAGCUGGAAUCGCUAGUAAUCGUAGAUCAGCAUGCUACGGUGAAUACGUUCCCGGGUCUUGUACACACCGCCCGUCACACCACGAGAGUUUGUAACACCCGAAGCCGGUGGAGUAACCUUUUAGGAGCUAGCCGUCGAAGGUGGGACAAAUGAUUGGGGUGAAGUCGUAACAAGGUAGCCGUAUCGGAAGGUGCGGCUGGAUCACCU
rnacentral:rRNA from 3 species